rnacentral:rRNA from 1 species
ACCAUGGCAGUCACGGGUAACGGAGAAUUAGGGUUCGAUUCCGGAGAGGGAGCCUGAGAAACGGCUACCACAUCUACGGGAGGCAGCAGGAGCGAAAAUUGCCCAAUCCCGACACGGGGAGGCAGUGACGAGAAAUAACAACUCUUGGUUAUUCUAAGAAGUGUAAUGAGGAUAAUUUAAAACCCCUACCGAAAGCAAUUGGAGGGCAAGUCUGGUGCCAGCAGCCGCGGUAAUUCCAGCUCCAAUAGCGUAUAUUAAAGUUGUUGCAGUUAAAAAGCUCGUAGUUGAAGUUCUGGCUGCUUGACCCUCGAGCUCUGUAGCCGAGGGCUCAGCAGUCAUCCGCUUGCAAAUAUAUGUUCGCCUUUAACCGGGCGGCUAUAUGAGUAAGCCUUUUACCUUGAGAAAAACAGAGUGUUCCAGGCAGGUUUGUCCGGAAUGCAUUAGCAUGGAAUAAUAGAAUAUGACUGAAGUCGAUUUAUUGGUUUGAGGCUUUAGUAAUGAUUAAUAGGAACAGUCGGGGGCAUUGGUACUUGUCAGUCAGAGGUGAAAUUCUAGGAUUUGACAAAGACUAACAAAUGCGAAAGCAUUUGCCAAGGAUGUUUUCAUUAAUCAAGAACGAAAGUUAGGGGAUCAAAGACGAUCAGAUACCGUCCUAGUCUUAACUAUAAACUAUACCGACUUGGAUUCAGAUGAAUCAUAAAGUUCAUUUGGGACCGUAGGAGAAAUCAGAGUUUUUGGGUUCUGGGGGAAGUAUGGUCGCAAGGCUGAAACUUAAAGGAAUUGACGGUUUUGCACCACCACGGAGUGGAGUCUGCGGCUUAAUUUGACCCAACACUGGGAAACUCAUCAGGGCAAGAAGAUUGUAGGAUUGACAGAUUGAGAGUUCUUUCUUGAUUGGUCUAGUGGUGGUGCAUGGCCGUUCUUAGUUGGUGGAGUGAUUUGUCUGGUUAAUUCCGUUAACGAACGAGACCUUAACCUGCUAACUAGUACACCGAUGACAAAUCGGUGAUACUUCUUAGAGGGACUAUGUGAUGUAAUCACAUGGAAGUUUGAGGCAAUAACAGGUCUGUGAUGCCCUUAGAUGUCCUGAGCUGCACGCGUACUACAAUGGUGCUUUCAUCGAGCUUUUCCUGAUCCGAAAGGAUUUGGGUAAUCUUUUUAGUGAGCACCGUGCUUGGGAUAGAUCUUUGUAAUUAUGGAUCUUGAACUAGGAAUUCCUAGUAAGCACGUGUCAUCAGCACGU